CUGGCUUCAGUGAUGAACGCUGGCGGCGUGCCUAAUACAUGCAAGUCGAACGAGUUCUCGUUGAUGAUCGGUGCUUGCACCGAGAUUCAACAUGGAACGAGUGGCGGACGGGUGAGUAACACGUGGGUAACCUGCCCUUAAGUGGGGGAUAACAUUUGGAAACAGAUGCUAAUACCGCAUAGAUCCAAGAACCGCAUGGUUCUUGGCUGAAAGAUGGCGUAAGCUAUCGCUUUUGGAUGGACCCGCGGCGUAUUAGCUAGUUGGUGAGGUAAUGGCUCACCAAGGCGAUGAUACGUAGCCGAACUGAGAGGUUGAUCGGCCACAUUGGGACUGAGACACGGCCCAAACUCCUACGGGAGGCAGCAGUAGGGAAUCUUCCACAAUGGACGCAAGUCUGAUGGAGCAACGCCGCGUGAGUGAAGAAGGCUUUCGGGUCGUAAAACUCUGUUGUUGGAGAAGAAUGGUCGGCAGAGUAACUGUUGUCGGCGUGACGGUAUCCAACCAGAAAGCCACGGCUAACUACGUGCCAGCAGCCGCGGUAAUACGUAGGUGGCAAGCGUUAUCCGGAUUUAUUGGGCGUAAAGCGAGCGCAGGCGGUUUUUUAAGUCUGAUGUGAAAGCCCUCGGCUUAACCGAGGAAGCGCAUCGGAAACUGGGAAACUUGAGUGCAGAAGAGGACAGUGGAACUCCAUGUGUAGCGGUGAAAUGCGUAGAUAUAUGGAAGAACACCAGUGGCGAAGGCGGCUGUCUGGUCUGUAACUGACGCUGAGGCUCGAAAGCAUGGGUAGCGAACAGGAUUAGAUACCCUGGUAGUCCAUGCCGUAAACGAUGAAUGCUAGGUGUUGGAGGGUUUCCGCCCUUCAGUGCCGCAGCUAACGCAUUAAGCAUUCCGCCUGGGGAGUACGACCGCAAGGUUGAAACUCAAAGGAAUUGACGGGGGCCCGCACAAGCGGUGGAGCAUGUGGUUUAAUUCGAAGCAACGCGAAGAACCUUACCAGGUCUUGACAUCUUUUGAUCACCUGAGAGAUCAGGUUUCCCCUUCGGGGGCAAAAUGACAGGUGGUGCAUGGUUGUCGUCAGCUCGUGUCGUGAGAUGUUGGGUUAAGUCCCGCAACGAGCGCAACCCUUAUGACUAGUUGCCAGCAUUUAGUUGGGCACUCUAGUAAGACUGCCGGUGACAAACCGGAGGAAGGUGGGGAUGACGUCAAAUCAUCAUGCCCCUUAUGACCUGGGCUACACACGUGCUACAAUGGAUGGUACAACGAGUUGCGAGACCGCGAGGUCAAGCUAAUCUCUUAAAGCCAUUCUCAGUUCGGACUGUAGGCUGCAACUCGCCUACACGAAGUCGGAAUCGCUAGUAAUCGCGGAUCAGCACGCCGCGGUGAAUACGUUCCCGGGCCUUGUACACACCGCCCGUCACACCAUGAGAGUUUGUAACACCCGAAGCCGGUGGCGUAACCCUUUUAGGGAGCGAGCCGUCUAAGGUGGGACAAAUGAUUAGGGUGAAGUCGUAACAAGGU
rnacentral:rRNA from 2 species